rnacentral:rRNA from 1 species
UAGUUGAUUUCUCUAGCGAGACUGCCCGCAAACGGGAGGAAGUGGGGAUGACGUCAAGUCAGCAUGGCCUUUAUAUCUUGGGCUACACACACGCUACAAUGGAUGGCACAAUAGGUUGCAACAGCGCGAGCUGAAGCUAAUCCCCAAAGCCAUCCUCAGUACAGAUUGCAGGCUGAAACCCGCCUGCAUGAAGUCGGAGUUGCUAGUAACCGCAAAUCAGCAUGUUGCGGUGAAUACGUUCUCGGGCCUU